UACGGGGGGAGCAAGCGUUGUUCGGAUUUACUGGGCGUAAAGGGCGCGUAGGCGGCCACCGCAGGUCGACUGUGAAAUCUCCGGGCUUAACCCGGAAAGGUCAGCCGAUACUGCGGGGCUAGAGUGCAGAAGGGGCAAUCGGAAUUCUUGGUGUAGCGGUGAAAUGCGUAGAUAUCAAGAGGAACACCUGAGGUGAAGGCGGGUUGCUGGGCUGACACUGACGCUGAUGCGCGAAAGCCAGGGGAGCAAACGGG
rnacentral:rRNA from 1 species